rnacentral:ncRNA from 1 species
CGGGAAGCCGUUCGAGCAGCGUCGUGUCGCGGUCCGGGACUGUCCUCAGUUCCGGGGUCGUUCGGCGCGGUUCCGAGCGGUCGCUCCCUCGCGAGGUGCCGCGGGUCAGCGGCUGACGCCAGCCACCUUCCCGACCCGUCUUGAAACACGGACCAAGGAGUCUAACAUGUGCGCGAGCCGCGGGGCAGUACGAAACCCGUAAGGCGAAAUGAAGGUGAACGCCGGCGCGGUCCUGCGGAGGUUGGAUCCCGUCCCGUCGGGGCGGGCGCACUACCGGCCGAUCUUCUCCGCCCUGUCGGCGAGGUCGAGCGAGAGCGUGCAAGUCGGGACCCGAAAGAUGGUGAACUAUGCCUGAGGAGGUUGAAGCCAGAGGAAACUCUGGUGGAGGACCGUAGCGAUUCUGACGUGCAAAUCGAUCGUCAAAUUUGGGUAUAGGGGCGAAAGACUAAUCGAACCGUCUAGUAGCUGGUUCCCUUCGAAGUUUCCCUCAGGAUAGCUGGCGCUCUGUCGCAGUUUUAUCUGGUAAAGCGAAUGAUUAGAGGUCUUGGGGGCGAAACGCCCUCAACCUAUUCUCAAACUUUAAAUUGGUAAGAAGCCCGACUCGCUCGUUUGGAGCCGGGCAUGGAAUGCGAGUGCCAAGUGGGCCACUCUUGGUAAGCAGGACUGGCGAUGCGGGAUGAACCGAACGCCGGGUUAAGGCGCCCGACGCGACGCUCAUCAGAGC